UCUCUUCCUUGCCAUGAUUCCAC
rnacentral:snRNA from 1 species